UACGAAGGGGGCUAGCGUUGCUCGGAAUCACUGGGCGUAAAGCGCACGUAGGCGGCUUUCUAAGUCAGGGGUGAAAUCCUGGAGCUCAACUCCAGAACUGCCCUUGAUACUGGAAGCUUGAGUUCGGGAGAGGUGAGUGGAACUGCGAGUGUAGAGGUGAAAUUCGUAGAUAUUCGCAAGAACACCAGUGGCGAAGGCGGCUCACUGGCCCGAUACUGACGCUGAGGCACGAAAGCGUGGGGAGCAAACAGG
rnacentral:rRNA from 1 species